ensembl:lncRNA
GGGGUGAGGAGGGGUCCGGGGUGGGCGUGCGAGGGACCAAGAUGAGCGCGCGGGGGUCCAGGUGGGCGUGCAAGGGUCCGAGGUGAGCGUGGCAGGGUCUGGGUGGGUGUGUGAGGGUCUGGGUGAGUGUGCAAAGGGUCCGGGUGGGCGUGCAAGGCUCAGGGGUGGGUGUGCAAGGGUCUGAGAUGAGCGUGCAAGGCUCAGGGGUGGGUGUGCAAGGCUCAGGGUGCGUGUGCAAGGCUCAGGGAUGAGUGUGGAAGGGUCUGGGUGGGUGUGCAAGGCUCAGAGAUGGGCGUGGAAGGCUCAGGGUGGGUGUGCAAGGCUCAGGGUGGGUGUGCAAGGCUCAGGGUGGGUGAGCGUGCAAGGCUCAAGGAUGAGCGUGGAGUGGUCUGGGUGGGUGUGCAAGGCUCAGGGUGGGUGAGUGUGCAAGGCUCAGGGAUGAGCGUGCAAGGCUCAGGGUGGGUGUGCAAGGCUCAGGGUGGGUGUGCAAGGCUCAGGGAUGGGUGUGCAAGGCUCAGGGUGGGUGAGUGUGCAAGGCGCCGCUGCGGUGCCGCAGGGGCGUGCAAGGGCCGGGCAGGGGCGGGGAAGGUGCUGGAAGGAGCCGGGGGGGCGUGCAAGGGACACGGGGGGUGUGCCAGGUGUGCCAGGUGUGCCAGGUGUGCCAGGUGUGCCAGGGACACCCAAGGGACACCCAGGGGACACCCAAGGGACACCCAGGGGACACCCGGGGCUGCCAGGCCCCCCCGGCCCGGCCGCGAGGCGGCUGCUGCGUCACCCGGGGCUGCACACGCGUGUCCCCUGCGUGUCCCCGAGCGUGUCACGCGUACCUGAGCGUGUCACGCGUGUCCUCUGCGCGUGUCCCCGAGCGUGUCACGCGUGUCCCUGCGGCCUUGGCCCCGCGCCAGUGAUGCCACCAGGCCCCAGAUUCCUGAUGUCCCCAAACCCCGAUGUCCCCAAACCCCGAUGUCCCCAAAUCCCGAUGUCCCCAAAUCCCUGUCCCUGUCUGCAUCCCUGCGCCCGUGUCCCCGUCCCGAUGUCCCCGAGUCAAUCCCGGUGUCCCAGUCCCGGUGUCCCAAAUCCCGGUGUCCCCGUGUCCUUGUCCCUGUGCCAGUGGCACUGCCAGGCCCCGAGGUCCCUGUCCCCAUAUCCCUGUCCUUGUCCCCAUCCCCUUUUCCCUGUCCCCAUUCCUGUCCCUGUCCCCGUGUCCUUGUCCCCAUCCGUGUCCCUGUCCCCAUCCUGGUGCCGAUCCCAAUGUCCCCGGGUCAAUCCCGAUGUCCCCAACCCCGGUGUCCCCGUGUCCUUGUCCCUGUGCCAGCAGCGCCACCAGGCCCCUGUCCCCUUCCCCGUCCCCAUCCUCGUGUCCCUGUGUCCCUGUCCUUGUCCCCAUCCCCUUAUCCAUGUCCCUGUCCCCAUCCCGGUGCCCAUCCCAAUGUCCCCGUGUCCCUGUCCCCGGGUCAAUCCCGAUGUCCCUGAGUCAAUCCCGAUGUCCUUGUCCCUGUGCCAGUGGCACUGCCAGGCCCCGAGGUCCCUGUCCCCAUCCCUGUCCCCAUGUCCCUGUCCCCGAGUCAAUCCCGAUGUCCCCAAUCCCGAUGUCCCCAUGUCCCUGUGCCAGCGGCGCCACCAGGCCCUGAGGUCCCUGUCCCCAUCCCUGUCCCCAUCCCUGUCCUUGUCCCCAUCUGUGUCCCUGUCCCCAUCCCGCUGCCAAUCCCGAUGUCCCCAAAUCCCGGUGUCCCCCUGUCCCCAUGUCCCCACCCUUGUGUCAAUCUCGAUGUCCCCAAACCCCAUCAAAAAGCAGGGAAAAUUCCCCAAAAAACAGAGAAAAUUCCCCCCAAAAGAGAGAAACCCCAUGAAAACCAGGGAAACCCCAUAAAAACCAGGGAAAACCCAUAAAAAACAGAGAAACCCCAUAAAAAACAGGGAAAAUUCUCCCAAAACAGGGAAACCCCAUAAAAACCAGGGAAAAUUCUCCCAAAACAGGGAAACCCCAUAAAAAACAGGGAAAAUCCUCCCAAAACAGGGAAACCCCAUAAAAAACAGGGAAAAUCCCCCCAAAACAGAGAAAAUUCCCCCCAAAAGAGAGAAACCCCAUAAAAACCAGAGAAACCCCAUAAAAACAGAGAAACCCCAUAAAAACCAGGGAAAAUCCCCCAAAACAGGGAAACCCCAUAAAAAGCAGGGGAAAUCCCCCAAAAACAGAGAAAAUUCCCCCCAAAAGAGAGAAAUCCUGUAAAAAACAGAGAAACCCCAUAAAAAACCAGAGAAAUCCCAUGAAAAACAGGGAAACCCCAUAAAAAAUAGGGAAAAUCCCCCCAAAACAGAGAAACCCCAUAAAAAACAGGGAAACCCCAUAAAAAACAGGGAAACCCCAUAAAAACCAGAGAAACCCCAUCAAAAACAGGGAAAAUCCCCCCAAAACAGAGAAACCCCAUAAAAAGCAGGGGAAAUCCCCCAAAAACAGAGAAAAUUCCCCCCAAAAGAGAGAAAUCCUGUAAAAAACGGAGAAACCCCAUAAAAAACAGGGAAAUCCUAUAAAAUCCAGGGAAACCCCAUAAAAACCAGGGAAACCCCAUAAAAACCAGGGAAAAUUCUCCCAAAACACGGAAACCCCAUAAAAACCAGAGAGAAUCCUCAAAGCCAGGGAAAAUCUGGAACCCCAAAAACUGUGGAGACCCCAAAAAUGGGAAUUCCCCACCCCAAAAACGGGAAUUUCCCCCCAAAAAAUGGGAAUCACACCAAGAAAUGGGAAUCACCCCAAAAAAUGGGAAUUUCCCCGCAAAAAAAUGGGAAUUCCUCUCCAAAAAAGAGAAUUCCUCCCAAAAAUAGGAAACCCCCCACCCCCC